CUCACUCACCCUACCUAUUAUUCCUCUUCCAUCUCUGGAACAAGGACUCGGUCAGAGAGGUUUAAGUUUUUGGUAAAUUUGGUGCCUAAGAUUACGAUGUAUAACUGUUCUACGUGUUACAUCCUCUCUCUCUCUCUCUCACUGACACAUCUUAAGCACCAACCAAUUCCUCUCUCAUUUAUUACUUAUAAACACACUCUCUGUCUCUCUCUCUCCCUUCCCUACUUCACCACUCUCUCUAUAUAUACACCACUAAACACUUUCUUCCUUCUCAGUUAUCUACUCUCUCUUCAACCUAGCUUUCUUCCGGUUCUGAUUUGAGAGUUUCUUGCUUUGUCUCUUCAUUUUUUCUCUCUCCUUGCUUAAUUUCUUCUUAACCCUUCAACAGUUUCUGUUUGCUUUCUAUGCGUUAAUAUCUAUAGGUGGUGGUACUUUGAUUGCUUUUCUUUUGUAUAGAGACAUAUCAGUGAAUAAUACUACCAAGUGGGUCUUGUGUCUGUUUUCAUGGCCUACAUAUACACAUGGGAUUGAGGAGCCUUUUAUGCCUUACAUUACUACUGUCCCUCUUUUCUUGCCUUUACUUUUAUGCCUUGUAUGUUGGAUUAGAUUACAUUUAGGGUUAGGGUUAGGGCUGUUCUAUUCUUCUUCUUCAACUCUCCUCCUUUUCUACUUCCUGAUAUGAUAUCCUUCAUUUUCGGCUCCUCCUUUUGUUUUUUUGAAGCUUUUCUUUUGCAUGGACUAGUGAUCUUGGUGGUGGUCACGCAGAGAGAGAAUCUUAUAAAGUCCUAAUUAGACUAAAGAAAACCAGUCACUGUUUGCCGGUGGAGCAUCAUCAAGAUUCACAAGCUUUAGGUGGCAUUAAUUUGUUUGAGGUGGUCCCUUAUUGCUCCAAACCAAUUACCCCUUUGCUAUGAGAAUCUUGAUGAUGCUGCAGCAGCAAUUAAUGACUAAUAUAUAUACUGCCAGCUUUGCCUUGAGGAUCUGAUCACACUACUACACAACUAUGCUACAAGGCUUGGAGCAAAAGAGGUCCCUUUGGAAAAUUUCAAUCAAGUGCAGCUGAACGACGCUUUGAAUGAGACAUGAAGGAUAAUGAUGCUAUUGGCCUGUCUGUACUGCAGAACCCCUUCACACCUGCAAAGCUCAGUAGGUAUGUCUGUACGUUGAUGGAACAUUGUGUACUACCAUGGAUCAUUCAAUGCUUUUACUUCAUGGACACUUGGGUAACACUGUUUAUCUUUUCUACUCUUCUGUUACACAUAUAUAAAGCAUUUUGAUUAAUCUCUAAUGUUCAUUUUAAUCAUGUUUAAUUAAUGCAUAAAUUAAUUUCAGUGCUCUUGUUGAUAUUGUCAAGGGAAAAUGUAGAAUGUAUAUGACUAUCUUUUGAUUAACCGGAUGGUGCUGCUUUUGCUUUCUUCGUAAAGUAGCAUAUAUCAGUUCUGCUUUUGGAUUUGACUCUUUUUCUUAUUGAUGACUAAAUGCUUCAGGAUUUUCUUGUUUUCUAGAACAGAAUCGUAUGUAAAUAAAUAUAUAUGUUUGCAAAAAGUUUAACACAUGUAUUAUUGGGGUAUAAAACAUAGGAUUGAGUUUGAGCUCUCUGGUUUGGGUCAUUGUCUGGUACUAUGACUUCACAUGGCUGGUCAAACUAGUUUGUUGUUGCGUUGAACAAUCUAAUUCUACCUAUUUAAUUUAUCUUUGGACUUAAGGUUAGCGAUACAUUGAUUUGCAACAUUAGCUUAAAUUCAAGUUUUGAAAACUGAAAGCUCUUUAAUUUCUACUCACUUUCUCUUGUGGUAUGGCUCUAUUUACAAGCAGUCUUAAGGUAUGUUAGAAUUCUGAGAUAUAUCUUUCAUAAUUAACAUGUCUGUGACCUAUGUUAUUAUGAAAAAUUAAGAUUAUUGCAAUGAAUUGAAGUUCCCUCUAAAAUGCAGAAAUAAUAUUAAACCAAUAGUAAUGAAACACAUUACAAUAAUUGUUACUUGUGUUUAUGUAAGCUAUUUGUAAGCAAUGAACAAAUUAAGGCUUAAAUCUACCUAUCAACUUGAACGAUGGUUUAGUUAUGUUUCUUCUUGACUUUGGACUUUAACAUCUUCCAUACAACUAUAUUUCAAUUUCUUUAUAUUUGUGAAGAACUAAUGAUUUAUAAGUUGCAGAGUUUCAGUAUUUUUUUAUAUGUUCAUCUAAUGACAGUUACUAAGAGUAGUUCAAUUGAUGUUCAUGCAUUAAUUUUAAUUUCAAUUAAAAGAUAGAGCACAAUAUAUUGUAAAUUACCUUUCUCUGGGAUUAUGUUUAUAGUCUUUCACUAAAGACGUGUACACACUUCCAUUAUGUGUACGGUCCCCUUAAUCGAAUGAAUGAUGUUGGAGUUGUACCAUGCAUAUGAUGCUAAAAAUGUGUUUUAGAUUUCUUUUGCUCUUCACUAAUCAUAUAUUUUUUAAGAGCACCAUUCAAUACUUUUGCCCAACAGGAAAAAAAAUUAUCAGGAAAAUUUCUUUGGAAACAAUAAUUCAUCAGCAACAUCGAAAAUAAAUAAGCAGAUCUCACUUGUCGUUUAACAUCAUAUUUUGUGAGUCUCUAGUACGUUGUUGUUCCGAAUUGUAUCAUCAAUCAUAUCUAGAAUGGAACAUAUGCAAAACCAGAUCCUAUGUCAGUGGUAGAACAUAUUCGGAAAAAGGAAAAUUAAAAAGCUGAAAGAAAGCAAAUUCAAACAACCUCUUUAAAACUUAUAUAUGCGAAAUUAGGAUUUAGAGGAUCCGUUUUCAAAAUAUCUUACAAAUGAUGACAGACUAUCGAAUCAAUAAACUAUGGAAUACAACAUUUACUUUCAUUUGAAGAUAGAGAUUUGAUACAACAUUGAUGUAUCUAUCGAUCUUCAUUCGAGCGAAACUGUCUUAAGAAAUAAUUAUUAUACAUAUAUACUUUUUUUUUUGUUUCGUCAAUCACUUGCUUUACACUUGCAUUGCAAUUAUUGUGAAUCUAAAUGCUUCAUCGAUUACAGCUAACAUGUUACUGAGAUCAACCGAAUUCAGAAUUGAAACGCAGAAAGAGAUAGCACAAUUUCUACCGAGAUUAAUUGUACCAUGUAAAUGGAUAAAUCUAUAUAUUAAUUAUGGUACGAUAUGA